UACAGAGGUCCCAAGCGUUGUUCGGAUUCACUGGGCGUAAAGGGUGCGUAGGCGGUCGGGUAAGUCUGAUGUGAAAUCUCACAGCUUAACUGUGAAACUGCAUUGGAUACUAUUCGGCUAGAGAGUUGGAGGGGGGACUGGAAUUCUUGGUGUAGCAGUGAAAUGCGUAGAUAUCAAGAGGAACACCAGUGGCGAAGGCUGAGUCCCUGGACAACUUCUGACGCUGAGGCACGAAAGCUAGGGGAGCAAACAGG
rnacentral:rRNA from 1 species